rnacentral:tRNA from 1 species
GGGGCUAUAGCUCAGCUGGGAGAGCGCUACAAUGGCAUUGUAGAGGUCGGCAGUUCGAUCCUGCCUAGCUCCACCA